ACCCGGUGGCUUGUCAUUGUUGACAACAAUAAUUUCACACUGACGGAAUUCAAAAGCACAAUUCUUGUUCUUUCAUAAUUUGGUCAGAUAAUUGGAUGUGUAGUGUCAGCAUUUGUUGCUGGCAUAUCAUAACUAAGUUUGCUUACCUUGCCAAUUAAAAUUUCUUAGGGCUAGGCCCCUUUUUUCUCAAUUUCGCCUGCAUGACGUGCCCAAAGUAAUCUGCCUGGUGAAGCCAGGAUAUGCACAUAAUUGGUACCAUUGAAAGAAAACACUUUGAAGUUGAAGUUUGUAGAAAUGUUAAAAUAAUGUAUGCGACUAUAACACAAUAGAUAUGGUUGGAGAAAAUCCAAAGAAAAACCAACCAGAAUAAAAAAAAAUUGAGAGACCAUCCUAAUUUUAAAGAUUAGCUCUCUGGAUGCAAUUCCUAUGGCUUCCACAGGGUGUCAGAAGUCUAUGUUCAAGGUUUUAGGCUUGUAACUUCAAAAACUAAGAAGAAAUCUAAGUUUUAUCAAAGGGACACAGUCUUGGAAAUUUGUACUAUGAAGACAGAACGCACCUGCUAAAAUCGGUUUCCUAUUGAACAUACUUCUUUCCAUAAGACAGUUUGAUUACAUUUUAGGGUGUCUGAGGAGUGUAUAGAAACGUAUUUUGACUUGUUGAAACAAAGGUUUUCGGAUUCAUUUCUCUGCAUGUUGAUCAGUGGAUUACUUAAAUCGAUUGUGCAACCUAAACAGACUUUAUGGGAUAUAAAGAAGGAUUUUAUCUAACAAAACGACACCACAUGUUAUAGCUGGGACCCGUUAGAUGACAAGUCAGAGGAAGAUUUUCAAAAAGUAAGUGAAUAUUUAAUCGCUAUUUGUGAAUUUAUGAAACCUGUGUUGAUGGAAAAAUAUUUUGACGUGGGGCGCCGUCCUCAAACAAUCGCAUGGCAUGUUUUUGCUGUAAUAGCUACUGUUAAUCAGAGAUAGAUGAAGAAGAAUCUUUCAACCAAUACAAGACACGUAGAUGUACCUAAAUGUUUAAAAUCCAUAAAUUUUACGAUUAUUUACUUGAAUUGCUCCAGUUUCACCAGAAGUUGUCCCACUAGCCCUAAGAAGCUCUGAUUGAACCAGGUUGUAAAGUGUUGAUAACUGUAUCUCUGAUUGAACCAUGUUGUAAAGUGUUGAUAACUGUAUCUCUGAUUGAACCAUGUUGUAAAGUGUUGAUAACUGUAUCUCUGAUUGAACCAUGUUGUAAAGUGUUGAUAACUGUAUCUCUGAUUGAACCAUGUUGUAAAGUGUUGAUAACUACGUCUGAUUGAACCAUGUUGUAAAGUGUUGAUAACUGUAUCUCUGAUUGAACCAUGUUGUAAAGUGUUGAUAUCUGUAUCUCUGAUUGAACCAUGUUGUAAAGUGUUGAUAACUACGUCUGAUUGAACCAUGUUGUAAAGUGUUGAUAACUGUAUCUCUGAUUGAACCAUGUUGUAAAGUGUUGAUAUCUGUAUCUCUGAUUGAACCAUGUUGUAAAGUGUUGAUAACUGUAUCUCUGAUUGAACCAUGUUGUAAAGUGUUGAUAACUGUAUCUCUGAUUGAACCAUGUUGUAAAGUGUUGAUAACUGUAUCUCUGAUUGAACCAUGUUGUAAAGUGUUGAUAACUGUAUCUCUGAUUGAACCAUGUUGUAAAGUGUUGAUAACUGUAUCUCUGAUUGAACCAUGUUGUAAAGUGUUGAUAACUGUAUCUCUGAUUGAACCAUGUUGUAAAGUGUUGAUAACUGUAACUCUGAUUGAACCAUGUUGUAAAGUAUUGAUAACUGUAUCUCUGAUUGAACCAUGUUGUAAAGUGUUGAUAACUGUAUCUCUGAUUGAACCAUGUUGUAAAGUGUUGAUAACUGUAUCUCUGAUUGAACCAUGUUGUAAAGUGUUGAUAACUGUAUCUCUGAUUGAACCAUGUUGUAAAGUGUUGAUAACUGUAUCUCUGACUGAACCAUGUUGUAAAGUGUUGAUAACUGUAUCUCUGAUUGAACCAUGUUGUAAAGUGUUGAUAACUGUAUCUCCGAUUGAACCAUGUUGUAAAGUGUUGAUAACUGUAUCUCUGACUGAACCAUGUUGUAAAGUGUUGAUAACCAAUUUGUAAGUCGCUCUGGAUAAGAGCGUCUGCUAAAUGACUUAAAUGUAAUGUAAUGUAAUGUAAAUGAUAACUGUCUGUUUAGGGUAAACCAGGAUACCCAGGAAGACCCACCAAGACCAAUUAGGUGACCGUGUUGAAGAAGAGUGAGGCUGAGAUCACCUGAUCACCAUAACAACCAUCAGAAUGGAACUCAUGGAAUUCUAAUAUAGAACUGUGAGUCACAAUGUUGUAUGUUGUUACAUUGUAGCUCCACCUGCUGGAACAAUAGUGGCAUUUGAUCAAAUGUGAUCUAUUAACUGAUACAUGUAUUAUUCUGAUUGGAAUGUGUUUUAAUAUGUGUGUUGUAUUAUUCAUUCAGCAGCUGUCCUUUAACAUCAGUCAUAUACUGGUCAUAUACUGUAUAGCAUUAUGGUUGAUACAUUGUAAAUGCCUUCACUUCUCAUGUCUAUACAGAUCAACUGAUAGGUGUUGUGGUUCAGGCAUUAUUGUUACAGGUUCAGUAUAAUGUUAUACCGUUACAUGUUACAGAGAUAGAAAACAUACAGGAGAGGAGAAUUCAAUUAUUACAAUUAUUUACUUCCCAUUUUGGUCUCAUGUUAUUUUGUUUAAACAUAACUAAUGUAGGGCUUUUGUUUCAUUGUGGUUGUUUUGUGCAAAACCAUUAUUUUUCUAUGAGUCAUCCUGGUAAGAUUAUUGCUUUUGUCUUUGUAGCAAAUAGAAAUAAAUAAGUGAUUUUCCUCAA